AACGUAGGACGCGAGCGUUAUCCGGAGUUACUGGGCGUAAAGGGCAGGUAGGCGGACCGGCAAGUGAGGUGUGAAAUCUCCCAGGCUCAACCGGGAGGGGGCACCUGAGACUGCCGGACUGGAGGGCAGCAGAGGAGCGUGGAAUUCCGGGUGGAGUAGUGAAAUGCGUAGAGAUCCGGAGGAACACCAGAGGCGAAGGCGGCGCUCUGGGCUGCACCUGACGCUGAACUGCGAAAGCCAGGGGAGCGAACGGG
rnacentral:rRNA from 1 species